rnacentral:rRNA from 1 species
GGGUGUGAUCAUACCAGCGUUAAUGCACCGAAUCCCAAUAGAAAUCCAUAGUUAGGCGCACUUGGGCUAGAGUAGUACUGGGAUAGGUGACCUCCUGGGAAGUCCUAGUGUUGCACCCU